ACGGAGGGUGCAAGCGUUGUUCGGAAUUACUGGGCGUAAAGCGCGUGUAGGCGGACUCAGAAGUAGGGGGGGAAAGAAGAGGGCGUAACUCGGGAAGUGCGCUCGAAACCAUGGGUCUUGAGAACCGGAGGGGAUCGGGGAAUUCCCAGUGUAGAGGUGAAAUUCGUAGAUAUUGGGAGGAACACCGGUGGCGAAGGCGCCGAUCUGGACGGUUUCUGACGCUGAGACGCGAAAGCGUGGGUAGCAAACAG
rnacentral:rRNA from 1 species